CAGGACAUGGCUAAGUUAGAAAAGCAUCUCCCUUACACUGAGAAGACACCUGUGCAACUCGGGUUGUCCUGA
rnacentral:tRNA from 1 species